GACAGGGUUUCAUUCUGUCACUCAGGCUGGAGUGCAGUGGCAUGAUCGUAGCUCACUGCACCCUCAAACUCCUGGGCUCAAGAGAUCCUCCUGCCUCAGCUUCCUGAGCAGCUGGGAAUACAGAUAAACUUCCUCCACGUGACCAGAUGAGUGGAGGUGAGAUGGAGAGUGAGAUUGCCAGGAAGAACUCCUGCCUUGCCAUUCCAGCCCAGUUACUUGGAGGAAAGAGUGCCUCUCCUGUCUUCCAGUGGCUGCAAAUAAAAUCCUCUAUGACUGGACUGAUUUGGCUUAUGUGCCUAUGUGAUGUCAACCACUGUGGGUAAAGGAAUGGGACAUUCUGAUUGACCAGCCCAAACUCUUGUGGCCCCCCACACCUGUGGCAUUGUUGGAGAACAGAUGCUAUAGAUUUUCCAGCCCCGUCAGAACCAUAUGACUUAGAGAGGGGAUCACUCUUCAAAGGUAUGAGGCAAGGGACAUAGAGAAAAACAGUAUAAGGUUGCCACAAGGAGGAUGGAAAAAAUAUUCUUUAAGUCUCUUUCAGGAGCAUACUCAGAAAAGAUAAUUUUUAUGGUAUGUGAAUUAUAUCUCAAUAAAGGUGUUCUUUAAAAAGA
rnacentral:lncRNA from 10 species